UAGGUGGCGAGCGUUAUCCGAAUUUAUUGGGCGUAAAGCGUCCGCAGACGGCUUAUUAAGUAUAUAAUUAAAGCCCGAAGCUUAACUUCGGUUCGUUAUAUAAACUGGUAGGCUUGAGUAUAGUAGAGGCAAGUGGAAUUUCUAGUGUAGCGGUAAAAUGCGUAGAUAUUAGAAGGAACACCAGUGGCGAAGGCGACUUGCUGGGCUAUUACUGACGUUCAUGGACGAAAGCGUGGGGAGCAAA
rnacentral:rRNA from 1 species